UUGGGGCCCCCCCUAUGGGGCUCCGCGCCCCACCUCUUUUUUUUUAACCCAUAAAUGCCCUACGGAACUUAAACUUCCGUAUUCUAUAAAAUAGAAUACGGAAGUUAAAAUUCCGUAUUAUAACUCUGACAGUCAUCACCUUUUCCACCAUUACUCCUCCCUCCACCAACCCCUCCACCAUUACUCCUCCGUCACCAACCCCUCACCAGCCCCCUUAACCCCCUCAAUGCCUCCAGACCACCCUCUCUCUCACCCUCUCCUACCUCACUUUCAUCCUCACUUCCAUUCUUCCUACCACCACCACCAACUCCUUCAUUGGCAAGCUCUCCACCAUUGGAUGCAAAAAGAUAGCAUUUGAGGGAUGACAGAAUCAUUUUUAUUUCAUGAAUCCCAAUUGAUUGAAGUUGGAUUGAACAAUGCUCAACCUGAAGAGGUGCCACCACCAGCAUUUGUACCCCCGUGUAUAAGUAUAGAUGUCUCGCAUUUAUUUACAACUGAUCAGAUUUUCCCUACCCGUGAUGAUCUUAUCAAUUG